GUGACGCACCACCUGGACUCGGUCUUAUGUAGCAACAUUUGAAUAGCUGUGUUUUACAUUAGAUACAAGUAGAGACUCAGAGCUACAAAAUGGUAUAUCAUACACCGCAUUUGAGGAAACAAUGGGAAAUCCACUUCUAGUGUGUGCAGCUGGCUUCCGUUGAGUGAUGUUAGCUGUUUCUGGACUUCCCAGAUGAUCUUGCGACACGUCGCCAUCUUCAUUGGAUACCUGAUGUCUCACUCUGCUUUCUGAUGACUUUCAAAGUCCUGCCUGUAGCCUUAGCUCACUGGAUGGCCCUCGCAGCCCUCUCUGCAGUUCUAACUCCAACUGCAGCGUGUUCAUCGCCAGACAAUCCACAUCUGACUCCACGUCGAAAAACUUAUGCUCACCAUUUAAACGUGCUGUUACAUACCUGUAGUGUUAAAGAGAAACGAACACAAAAGUUAUCGUCUUGACAGUUCUGGCAUUUCUUUAUUCUGAUGAAUAGUGGGCGCAUUUGGCCAGAAUUUGUUGCUUCCCCACUGCCAGAGUGGAACAGUG
rnacentral:lncRNA from 1 species